rnacentral:rRNA from 1 species
GGGGAAUAUUGCACAAUGGGCGCAAGCCUGAUGCAGCGACGCCGCGUGCGGGAUGACGGCCUUCGGGUUGUAAACCGCUUUUGACUGGGAGCAAGCCCUUCGGGGUGAGUGUACCUUUCGAAUAAGCACCGGCUAACUACGUGCCAGCAGCCGCGGUAAUACGUAGGGUGCAAGCGUUAUCCGGAAUUAUUGGGCGUAAAGGGCUCGUAGGCGGUUCGUCGCGUCCGGUGUGAAAGUCCAUCGCUUAACGGUGGAUCCGCGCCGGGUACGGGCGGGCUUGAGUGCGGUAGGGGAGACUGGAAUUCCCGGUGUAACGGUGGAAUGUGUAGAUAUCGGGAAGAACACCAAUGGCGAAGGCAGGUCUCUGGGCCGUCACUGACGCUGAGGAGCGAAAGCGUGGGGAGCGAACAGGAUUAGAUACCCUGGUAGUCCACGCCGUAAACGGUGGAUGCUGGAUGUGGGGACCAUUCCACGGUCUCCGUGUCGGAGCCAACGCGUUAAGCAUCCCGCCUGGGGAGUACGGCCGCAAGGCUAAAACUCAAAGAAAUUGACGGGGGCCCGCACAAGCGGCGGAGCAUGCGGAUUAAUUCGAUGCAACGCGAAGAACCUUACCUGGGCUUGACAUGUUCCCGACAGCCCCAGAGAUGGGGCCUCCCUUCGGGGCGGGUUCACAGGUGGUGCAUGGUCGUCGUCAGCUCGUGUCGUGAGAUGUUGGGUUAAGUCCCGCAACGAGCGCAACCCUCGCCCUGUGUUGCCAGCACGUCGUGGUGGGAACUCACGGGGGACCGCCGGGGUCAACUCGGAGGAAGGUGGGGAUGACGUCAGAUCAUCAUGCCCCUUACGUCCAGGGCUUCACGCAUGCUACAAUGGCCGGUACAACGGGAUGCGACCUCGUGAGGGGGAGCGGAUCCCUUAAAACCGGUCUCAGUUCGGAUUGGAGUCUGCAACCCGACUCCAUGAAGGCGGAGUCGCUAGUAAUCGCGGAUCAGCAACGCCGCGGUGAAUGCGUUCCCG